AGUAGAGGUGCUGCAUGGCUGUCGUCAGCUCGUGUCGUGAGAUGUUCGGUUAAGUCCGCUAACGAGCGCAACCCUCGCUGUGUGUUAUAUGUGUCACACGGGGACUGCCGGUCUUAAGCCGGAGGAAGGUGGGGAUGAUGUCAAGUCAGCAUGGCCUUUAUAUCCUGGGCUACACACACGCUACAAUGGCCAACACAAUAGGUUGCUAAGCCGCGAGGUGGCGCCAAUCCAUAAAGUUGGUCUCAGUUCAGAUUGUAGGCUGCAACCCGCCUGCAUGAAGAUGGAGUUGCUAGUAACCGCAGGUCAGCUAUACUGCGGUGAAUACGUUCCCGGGGCUU
rnacentral:rRNA from 1 species